AUGGAGGGACAAGGCAGCAGCAGCCGUGUUCCUAGAGCGAGCUCCCAAACGGAGCUUGGUUUGAUGAAGCAGAAGGAGGGUGAGGAGCCGAAGACGAGCGGCAGCGCGGGAAAAGACAAGGAGGAUGAAAUCGUGGCUCUUGGGGAGCAGAAGCCGGAGGGUUCUGACAAGCAGGAGGACAAGGCGAGCGCCAGCGCAGGAGGGGACGAGGGAAAGAAGAUCUUGGAGGUGGACCCCCGCCGCCCUGGUGACUCCACGCAGGAGAAGACUGUCGCUCGGGACCUAGAGCAGCCUCCGGCCAACCGUGGGACGCGUGCACUGCCCGGUCUCCUAGGAAAUGAUCUCAAGUCUAUCAGCAAGCUUUUCAACGUCACGGCCGCCACGGUGGGCUUGGGGCUGCUGCUUGCCUUUCUGGGGAUUACCAUGGUGCCAAACAAGUCCCUCUUGCACAGUGCAUUAACAUCAACCUGCCGUGUCACUCCCGAUGACAUUGCGCGGCUGUACGCGGUGGUAGGCGUGGGCCUGGCCAUCGCCAUCACGCAGUACCUCGCGUCGCUGCUCGGCGCUUCUGAGAAGGAGGAGACGGAGGAGCCACCCGUGGCCGCGGCGGCGCCGGUGAUGCGCCGAGUUUUCGUCUUCAUCGCUGCUGUGUCGCAGCUGGGACUUACCGUGUGCUUCUUCUGGAGCCUUAUGCUUGCCGUGUCACUUCGGAUGGGGAAGGCGCACUGCUGGCCACAGGGCACGAUGGCUGCGAUGCUGACCGGGAUGGCCAUCUCGUCCAUGCUGAGCGUGUACAUGGUGUACAUUGGCAUUGCGUGCGUCUUCGGGGCCAACACCAAUUGA
rnacentral:rRNA from 1 species